rnacentral:rRNA from 1 species
GUUGAACGCUGGCGGCAUGCCUUACACAUGCAAGUCGAACGGCAGCACGGGAGCAAUCCUGGUGGCGAGUGGCGAACGGGUGAGUAAAGUAUCGGAACGUGCCCAGUCGUGGGGGAUAACGUAGCGAAAGUUACGCUAAUACCGCAUACGAUCUAUGGAUGAAAGCGGGGGAUCGCAAGACCUCGCGCGGUUGGAGCGGCCGAUAUCAGAUUAGGUAGUUGGUGGGGUAAAGGCUCACCAAGCCGACGAUCUGUAGCUGGUCUGAGAGGACGACCAGCCACACUGGGACUGAGACACGGCCCAGACUCCUACGGGAGGCAGCAGUGGGGAAUUUUGGACAAUGGGCGAAAGCCUGAUCCAGCCAUGCCGCGUGCAGGAUGAAGGCCUUCGGGUUGUAAACUGCUUUUGUACGGAACGAAAAGGUUUGGGCUAAUAAGCUGAGCUCAUGACGGUACCGUAAGAAUAAGCACCGGCUAACUACGUGCCAGCCGCCGCCGUAA